rnacentral:rRNA from 1 species
GUAGUCUGCAACUCGACUACAUGAAGCUGGAAUCGCUAGUAAUCGCGGAUCAGAAUGCCGCGGUGAAUACGUUCCCGGGUCUUGUACACACCGCCCGUCACACCAUGGGAGUCGGAAAUGCCCGAAGUCUGUGACCGAACCGAAAGGAAGGAGCAGCCGAAGGCAGGUCGGAUGACUGGGGUGAAGUCGUAACAAGGUAAC